UACGGAGGGUGCAAGCGUUAAUCGGAAUUACUGGGCGUAAAGCGUGCGUAGGUGGUUAAUUAAGUUAUCUGUGAAAUCCCCGGGCUCAACCUGGGCAGGUCAGAUAAAACUGGUUAACUCGAGUAUGGGAGAGGGUAGUGGAAUUUCCGGUGUAGCGGUGUAAUGCGUAGAGAUCGGAAGGAACACCAGUGGCGAAGGCGGCUACCUGGCCCAAUACUGACACUGAGGCACGAACGCGGGGGGAGCAAACA
rnacentral:rRNA from 1 species